rnacentral:rRNA from 1 species
CCUACGGGAGGCAGCAAUGAGGAAUAUUGGUCAAUGGACGAGAGUCUGAACCAGCCAAGUAGCGUGAAGGAUGACUGCCCUAUGGGUUGUAAACUUCUUUUAUAUGGGAAUAAAAUGUUCCACGUGUGGGAUUUUGUAUGUACCAUAUGAAUAAGGAUCGGCUAACUCCGUGCCAGCAGCCGCGGUAAUACGGAGGAUCCGAGCGUUAUCCGGAUUUAUUGGGUUUAAAGGGAGCGUAGGUGGAUUGUUAAGUCAGUUGUGAAAGUUUGCGGCUCAACCGUAAAAUUGCAGUUGAAACUGGCAGUCUUGAGUACAGUAGAGGUGGGCGGAAUUCGUGGUGUAGCGGUGAAAUGCUUAGAUAUCACGAAGAACUCCGAUUGCGAAGGCAGUUCACUGGACUGCAACUGACACUGAGGCUCGAAAGUGUGGGUAUCAAACAGGAUUAGAUACCCCUGUAGUC